UAGAGUUUGAUCCUGGCUCAGGAUGAACGUUGGCGGCAUGCCUAACACAUGCAAGUCGAACGGAGAAGCCCUACGGGGUGGAUCAGUGGCGAACGGGUGCGUAACACGUAGGUGACCUGGCUGACUGAGGGGGAUAACCCGUGGAAACAUGGGCUAAUACCGCAUACGCUCUUUGAGACUAGACUCUUGAAGAGGAAAGUUCCGGCGCUGUCAGGGGGGCCUGCGGCCUAUCAGGUAGUUGGUGGGGUAAAAGCCUACCAAGCCGAUGACGGGUAGCUGACCUGAGAGGGUGGUCAGCCACAGGGGAACUGAGACACGGUCCCCACUCCUACGGGAGGCAGCAGUGAGGAAUAUUGGGCAAUGGGCGCAAGCCUGACCCAGCAAUGCCGCGUGCAGGAGGACGCCCUUCGGGGUGUAAACUGCUUUAGUGUGGGAGGAGGAAGGACCGUACCACACGAACAAGUCACGGCUAACUACGUGCCAGCAGCCGCGGUAAUACGUAGGUGGCGAACGUUAUCCGGAAUUACUGGGCGUAAAGGGUCCGCAGGCGGGCGCGCAAGUCUGACGUGAAAGCUCCUGGCUUAACUGGGAGAAGCCGUUGGAAACUGCGCGUCUUGAAUCACGCAGAGGUCGGUUGGAAUUCCCGGUGGAGUGGUGGAAUGCGUAGAGAUCGGGAGGAAACCUCGAAAGGCGAAGGGCAGCCGGCUGGGUGAUGAUUGACGCUGAGGGGACGAAAGCGUUGGGAGGCGAAACAGAAUUAGAUUACCUGUUAGUCCAACGCUUGUAAACGAUGUGUGCUCGGUGUCUGCUGUGAAAAAGCUGGGCGCCCAAGGCAACCCGCUUAAGCACACCGCCUGGGGAGUACGGCCGCAAAGGCUAAAACUCAAAGGAAUUGACGGGGGCCCGCACAAGCAGCGGAGCGUGUGGUUUAAUUCGAUGCAACGCGAAGAACCUUACCUGGGCUUGACAUGGUGGUAGUAGGGAGGGGAAACCUGACCGACCUUCGGGAGCCAUCACAGGUGCUGCAUGGCUGUCGUCAGCUCGUGUCGUGAGAUGUUGGGUUAAGUCCCGCAACGAGCGCAACCCCUAUGGCAUGUUUUACGAGUCAUGCCAGACUGCCCGGGAGGACCGGGAGGAAGGUGGGGAUGACGUCAAGUCAGCAUGGCCUUUAUGUCCAGGGCGACACACACGCUACAAUGGCGCGUACAGUGGGCAGCCACCUCGCGAGAGGGCGCGAAUCUCCAAAGCGCGUCGUAGUUCGGAUUGGAGUCUGCAACUCGACUCCAUGAAGGCGGAGUUGCUAGUAACCGCGCGUCAGCCAUAGUGCGGUGAAUGCGUUCCCGGGCCUUGUACACACCGCCCGUCACGUCAUGGGAGUCGGUAACACCUGAAGUCGGUUAGCCAACCAAUGGAGGCGACUGCCGAGGGUGGGACCGGUGACUGGGACGAAGUCGUACAAGGUAGCAGUACCGGAAGGUGCGGCUGGAUCACCUCCUU
rnacentral:rRNA from 1 species